UACGAAGGGGGCUAGCGUUGCUCGGAAUCACUGGGCGUAAAGCGCACGUAGGCGGAUUGCUAAGUCAGGGGUGAAAUCCUGGAGCUCAACUCCAGAACUGCCUUUGAUACUGGCGAUCUCGAGUUCGGGAGAGGUGAGUGGAACUGCGAGUGUAGAGGUGAAAUUCGUAGAUAUUCGCAAGAACACCAGUGGCGAAGGCGGCUCACUGGCCCGAUACUGACGCUGGGGUGCGAAAGCGUGGGGAGCAAACAGG
rnacentral:rRNA from 1 species